AAUAGAUACCCAGGUAGUCCACCCCGUAAACGUUGGGAACUAGUUGUGGGGUCCUUUCCACGGAUUCCGUGACGCAGCUAACGCAUUAAGUUCCCCGCCUGGGGAGUACGGCCGCAAGGCUAAAACUCAAAGGAAUUAACGGGGACCCGCACAAGCGGCGGAGCAUGCGGAUUAAUUCGAUGCAACGCGAAGAACCUUACCAAGGCUUGACAUACACCAGAACACCCUAGAAAUAGGGGACUCUUUGGACACUGGUGAACAGGUGGUGCAUGGUUGUCGUCAGCUCGUGUCGUGAGAUGUUGGGUUAAGUCCCGCAACGAGCGCAACCCUCGUUCUAUGUUGCCAGCACGUAAUGGUGGGAACUCAUGGGAUACUGCCGGGGUCAACUCGGAGGAAGGUGGGGAUGACGUCAAAUCAUCAUGCCCCUUAUGUCUUGGGCUUCACGCAUGCUACAAUGGCCGGUACAAAGGGCUGCAAUACCGUGAGGUGGAGCGAAUCCCGAAAAGCCGGUCCCAGUUCGGAUUGAGGUCUGCAACUCGACCUCAUG
rnacentral:rRNA from 1 species